rnacentral:rRNA from 1 species
UUCGGGAUGCCGGCGAGUGGCGAACGGGUGCGUAACGCGUGGAAACCUGCCCUGAGAUGGGGGACAACAGCUGGAAACGGCUGCUAAUACCGCAUAAGCCCUACGGGGGAAAGACGCAAGUCGUCUUGGGAGGGGUCCGCGUCGGAUUAGCUUGUUGGCGAGGUAAUGGCUCACCAAGGCGAUGAUCCGUAGCUGGUCUGAGAGGACGAUCAGCCACACUGGGACUGAGACACGGCCCAGACUCCUACGGGAGGCAGCAGUGGGGAAUAUUGCGCAAUGGGGGAAACCCUGACGCAGCGAUACCGCGUGGGUGAAGAAGGUCUUCGGAUUGUAAAGCCCUUUCAGUGGGAAAGAUGAUGACGGUACCCACAGAAGAAGCUCCGGCUAACUCCGUGCCAGCAGCCGCGGUAAUACGUAGGGUGCGAGCGUUAAUCGGAAUUACUGGGCGUAAAGCGUGCGCAGGCGGCUUUGCAAG